UCUUAUAACUAACCUUUCAUAAAAUAGUAUCAUUGACUGUAAACCAGUCCAAUACAGUCAAAAAAUGUCUUUAGAAAGUUAUUUUUAUACAUCGCAAAUAUAUUGACAGCAUUUGGACAAAUUCAAUUAAUGUUAAUAUGGAUACGAUUAAAUAAUACGCGUUGUAAUAAAUGAUGAAUGUUCGUUAUUAGAAGAUGGAAAGAUAGGUCAAAGUUACAUUAGAGAAUUUCUGUAUAAUUAAAAUAUACUUAUCUUAUAAAAUAUCCUGUAAUUUUCUUGAUGACACAUAAAAAAAAAAAAAAAAAAAGAAGUAAUACUUUAAUUGUCUUUUAACAAUAUACUUUCGCUCGUAUAUAAACAUAGAUGAGUGUGUGCGAAUUAGUAACCUCUUUUCUCCAUGAGAUAGAAUGUAUACAAUAUAGAAACGUUAGGAAACAUAUAAUGAGUAUUACGUUUUAAUUCACACAAUGUUUUUAUUAAUCGAAUUCAUUUAUUUGUACGUUCAACAUAUACAUACAUAUAUGUAUACAUGCAUAUACGCAUACAUACAACAUAUAUAAAUUAGUAAAGUUAAUAGUAUUCUGUAAGCAUACAAUGUAGAUUAAAAUCUCAUUUUUCAUUCUCAUUAUUGUGGUCGUCUAUUUUUGAUUAGUUAAUGAUAAAAGAUCAUUUCCCUUUUUUUUUUAUUUUUUAUUUUCUCUCUCUCUCUCUCUCUCUCUCUCUCUCUCUCUCUCUCUCUACCUUCCUUUUAAUACUGAUUUUCUUGCACAGAUCAUAAAAAUUUUCUUUUGAAACGUGUACCUUUUCUCGUUGCGACGUGCAAUCUCAUAGGAAACGGCAAAGAUUACCCACCGUGAGAAUGUAAAGGUACCAUUCGGUACCACUCUCUGACGACGUCAGCAAACAAGCACUCGUCUCUUUUUAAAGCGAAGAGAGACACGGAAUAAAAAACAAUGCGUGCUUCGAACGUUCCCGGUGAAUCCGUACUUUUUCCUUUUAUCGCACGUACAUACAUAUCUACGUGGAACAUUUUCAUUCAGAGAUAUACUAAAAUAAGAAAAAAAGAAAUAAAAAGAAAAGAAAAGAAAAGAAAAGAAAAGAAAAGAAAAGAACAUACGAAAAACAAUAUAUGUAAAAAAGUCAUUAUUUCCAAACCACUUAUUGUAGUUACCAAUCUGUCCAUCCAUCCAUCCAUCCAUCCAUCCAUCCAUCCAUCCACUCAUCCAAGCUGUUGUUACCAUGACGUAUAAUAAUGUUUCUACGCGAGGCCGCAUAACGGAAUUUGGAUCCUUGACAUUUUUGAAUUCAGCGGUUCUUCUAUGGUCGAUCGUAGUCAUUAAAUCUUUUCCAUUACUCCAUUAAAAAUAAUAUAGAUAUUACUCUUUUUAUUUAGAUUUUCAAUAUUUUUCAUAUUAUCCGAUAUUAAUAUAUUACAUAAAAUUUCAAACGAUAUAUAUAUAUAUAUAUAUAUAUAUAUUUUAUUUUUACACAUAUAUAUAAGUCAAUCAAGAAAUAGAUGAAGCGAUGAACUUUUAUUCUUACGAUAAAUUUUACGUAAACAGUUACAUAUCUUCGUCGCAUAGUCUAUAUGUGUGAAUGUGUGUGUGUGUAUGUGUGUAUAUUUAGAAUGGAGGAGGGAGGGAUUUGGAAAUCGUAUAUUAUAAUAUUAAGUUGCACUUUAUAGAAACUUAAAUAUAUGGAAUCUCGUAGUUUGUGCCGAUCAUUCAGAGAUAUUGUAAAUAUAUGUAUAUGUGUAAAUUUCUCUUCUCCUUCCCCAAUGAGGUUGCCCUCUCAUAAGGUGUCCUUUCUGGUGUAAGAGGUAGUCCUCGAGAUUGGUUCUCCAUAGGGAGAAGGAUUGAAAGAAUAAGGGGGAAGAGAGAGAGAAAGGUGGAUAAAGAGUUUAAGAAAGAAAGAGAGAGAGAGAGAGAGAAAGAGAUAAAUAAAGGGUCAAAGAAAGAGAGAGAUGGAUAAAGAGUUAGAGAGAAAGAGAGAGAUGGAUAAAGAGUUAGAGAGAAAGAGAGAGAGAGAAAAAGAGAGCUGUGCGGGCGCAACAUCGUACUGCUUAUGUGUGUAGUAUGCUCGAGUCAUGACCUUGCGGCAUUUGGUACCUGGCCGUGCCAGGCGGCCGUGCACACACUUACACGCAACAUGCACAUACACAUACACAUCCCACACCCAAUUCAACACGAGGUACGAAGUAACGCGAACACGAGCGCGCAGCUUGCCGGCUCUCUGCGCGCACACGAGCAAAAUAACAAAGUACCAUCUCUUUCUCGUUCUCCCUCCAACGAUCCGCGCGCGCACCUUCGCCGCCGCGCGCACACGCUCGCCCUCUAUUUUUUUCCAUUCGUGGCGCGCACACACGCACGCCACGCGACUAGUACACAGGUGCGCACUCGCGCGCAUACGUCGCAAUUUUUCUUUUCUUUUUUAUUCUUUUUUUUUUUUUAUUAUGUUUGUUUUUUUUAUUUUUCUUCUUCUUCUUCUGCCCGAUAUGCUUUGCAAAAAUCUAUGUAUCCU